rnacentral:rRNA from 1 species
UACGUAGGGUGCGAGCGUUAAUCGGAAUUACUGGGCGUAAAGCGUGCGCAGGCGGCGCGUUAAGACAGGUGUGAAAGCCCCCGAGCUUAACUUGGGAAUUGCGCUUGUGACUGGCGUGCUGGAGUGUGGCAGAGGGAGGUGGAAUUCCACGUGUAGCAGUGAAAUGCGUAGAUAUCGGGAGGAACACCUGUGGCGAAAGCGGCUCACUGGACCACAACUGACGCUGAUGCGCGAAAGCUAGGGGAGCAAACAGG